GCGGCAGGCCUAACACAUGCAAGUCGAGCGGUAGCACAGAGAGCUUGCUCUCGGGUGACGAGCGGCGGACGGGUGAGUAAUGUCUGGGAAACUGCCUGAUGGAGGGGGAUAACUACUGGAAACGGUAGCUAAUACCGCAUAACGUCGCAAGACCAAAGUGGGGGACCUUCGGGCCUCAUGCCAUCAGAUGUGCCCAGAUGGGAUUAGCUAGUGGGUGGGGUAAUGGCUCACCUAGGCGACGAUCCCUAGCUGGUCUGAGAGGAUGACCAGCCACACUGGAACUGAGACACGGUCCAGACUCCUACGGGAGGCAGCAGUGGGGAAUAUUGCACAAUGGGCGCAAGCCUGAUGCAGCCAUGCCGCGUGUGUGAAGAAGGCCUUCGGGUUGUAAAGCACUUUCAGCGGGGAGGAAGGCGUUAAGGUUAAUAACCUUGGCGAUUGACGUUACCCGCAGAAGAAGCACCGGCUAACUCCGUGCCAGCAGCCGCGGUAAUACGGAGGGUGCAAGCGCUAAUCGGAAUUACUGGGCGUAAAGCGCACGCAGGCGGUCUGUCAAGUCGGAUGUGAAAUCCCCGGGCUCAACCUGGGAACUGCAUUCGAAACUGGCAGGCUAGAGUCUUGUAGAGGGGGGUAGAAUUCCAGGUGUAGCGGUGAAAUGCGUAGAGAUCUGGAGGAAUACCGGUGGCGAAGGCGGCCCCCUGGACAAAGACUGACGCUCAGGUGCGAAAGCGUGGGGAGCAAACAGGAUUAGAUACCCUGGUAGUCCACGCCGUAAACGAUGUCGAUUUGGAGGUUGUGCCCUUGAGGCGUGGCUUCCGGAGCUAACGCGUUAAAUCGACCGCCUGGGGAGUACGGCCGCAAGGUUAAAACUCAAAUGAAUUGACGGGGGCCCGCACAAGCGGUGGAGCAUGUGGUUUAAUUCGAUGCAACGCGAAGAACCUUACCUGGUCUUGACAUCCACAGAACUUUCCAGAGAUGGAUUGGUGCCUUCGGGAACUGUGAGACAGGUGCUGCAUGGCUGUCGUCAGCUCGUGUUGUGAAAUGUUGGGUUAAGUCCCGCAACGAGCGCAACCCUUAUCCUUUGUUGCCAGCGGUCCGGCCGGGAACUCAAAGGAGACUGCCAGUGAUAAACUGGAGGAAGGUGGGGAUGACGUCAAGUCAUCAUGGCCCUUACGACCAGGGCUACACACGUGCUACAAUGGCAUAUACAAAGAGAAGCGACCUCGCGAGAGCAAGCGGACCUCAUAAAGUAUGUCGUAGUCCGGAUUGGAGUCUGCAACUCGACUCCAUGAAGUCGGAAUCGCUAGUAAUCGUAGAUCAGAAUGCUACGGUGAAUACGUUCCCGGGCCUUGUAUACACCGCCCGUCACACCAUGGGAGUGGGUUGCAAAAGAAGUAGGUAGCUUAACCUUCGGGAGGGCGCUUACCACUUUGUGAUUCAUGACUGGGGUGAAGU
rnacentral:rRNA from 1 species